GAUGAACGCUGGCGGCGUGCUUAACACAUGCAAGUCGAACGGAAAGGCCCCUGCUUGCAGGGGUACUCGAGUGGCGAACGGGUGAGUAACACGUGGGUGAUCUGCCCUGCACUUCGGGAGAAGCCUGGGAAACUGGGUCUAAUACCGGAUAGGACUACAUGUUGGAUGGUGUGGUGGAAAGUUUUUCGGUGUGGGAUGAGCUCGCGGCCUAUCAGCUUGUUGGUGGGGUAAUGGCCUACCAAGGCGUCGACGGGUAGCCGGCCUGAGAGGGUGUACGGCCACAUUGGAACUGAGAAACGGCCCAGACUCCUGCGGGAGGCAGCAGUGGGGAGUAUUGCACAAUGGGCGCAAGCCUGAUGCAGCGACGCCGCGUGCGGGAUGACGGCUUUCGGGUUGUAAGCUCCUUUCGCUAGGGACGAAGCGUUUUUGUGACGGUACCUGGAGAAGAAGCACCGGCUAACUACGUG
rnacentral:rRNA from 1 species